rnacentral:misc_RNA from 1 species
UGAAAUCCCUCAAGAAUUAUUGGCUGGAGUCCUGCACAAAUUCAUACGAUUGCCCAACGGCUAAACAAUCUGGGGCGUUCAAAUUUUCAGCAAGGACGAACGAAUCAACGAGAUUUCGCCACUUUACCCUGUUCAUCGUACAAACUCGUACUGAGAACCAGGAGGGGCAGAAAAUGUGUGACCUCCGUCUAACGUCGUGUCCUUUGCAAACGUCGAACGUUGUUCCCG